CUGCCUUUCCCUUCUGCAGUUCACACUCCACACUGCAGUGUUCACAGAACAUAUUUAACACUGGUGGAGUGUAGCAAAAGCCCAGAUUGUUAAUAACCAAAAACUCUGAUUGCCAAGAAGAUACUCCUAGCAACUACUAGCUGCAUCUGGGAAAAAUUACAGACAGCUUGGAAAUUCUUUAGUUCCUUAUUAAUGAAGGACUUUGUAAAAAAACCCAACCCACACUGUAAUACAGUUUAGCUUAACUAAGUUCUUUUGUGCCCGAGGAAAAUCUAAAUUAUAGCAUGCUAUAGCUACUGAAAAACGCAGAAGGAUUUAAAUGUACAAUAACCCUCCGAACCAGAAGGAAGAGGGGAAAUUUUCUUAGUAAGUGGGAACACAAUGAGAAUUUAUUUUAUUCUUUCUGGGUAUUUAGUGCUGGUGAAAAGAGCCAGAUGAAUAGUCCCAAACAUGUCACGUCCCUUGCAGAUGCAACAUGGGCAGCACAAGCGUCCUCGAACUGCCCCGCCAACGUGACCCAGUUCUGAAUGAGCAGCACCAGCUUGCUGGGGGAGAAAGGAGCCUGUCACUAUUCAGCCCCUGACCCCUCUGCUCCAGGCUGUUAAUGAAGGGGCCUCAUUAACACCAAAGAUAAAUCACUCUGCCUUGAAAAGUUUCCAGUCUGCCAGCCAAAUCCUGGGAAUCUGAAACAGCGGGAGGCAACUGGUGCAGCAGAACAGCUCCAUGCUGACCCAGACCCCACCCCUGGAAUUUGGCAUCCACAGCUGGAGUCUCCCCCUCCAGCAGUACCAGGAGAGAAGCAAGGCUGGGAUCAGCAACAUGGCUCAAACCCUGGUGCACGAAUAUGAUCAUUGGGAAGAGCCCAACUUCUGCAACUCCAGCCUGAGACAGAGGGACAGAACCUUCACCUGUGACAGGUGAGAUCAGCCUCUGACAUGGAUUGAGGCAGGAGGUGCUGGUUUAAGCACAGCAGCAGUGCAAUGGCAGCAGAGGCAGCUCCUCCCUCACAGAAUUCACAGAAUUCACAGAAUGAAUGCUGCAGCCAUGCCCUUUCUGCAGUGGAAGGAGGUUCCUGCAGGGAGUUCAUUCUCACUCACAGUGAAGCAGCUUUGGCUGACAGAGGAGCCCACAGGGCCAGAGACAGAAAUGAACACCUCCGAGGCUCUCCAGACCUGUGCAGCAAGUUCCUAAAUCCAGGUCUGUGUUGUAGGGGAUGAGGCUGCAGGUGCUGACAUCACAAUGCUGCUGCUUUGGGGUAGAAAGCAGCAGUUUGGGCAGUGCUUGCAGCAUCCUGGGCACAACUUUCUGGGCAGGCAAGAGAGCCAUGGGAUUAGUGAGAAUGUGAGAGGGCCAGGACACCCACACACCCACUGAGCCCUCCUCUGCUAGAUCUGCACCCUUUAUUUCGCCACCCAAUGGAGCUGCACACUCUGGGUGUGAGCAGCACCAGAGCUGCUGCAAAGAGACACUGCUGAGGAUGUAGGUGUCAUUAUCAGCAUCUUGGAUCAGUCAUUUCAGCAAAGAAACGAGGCUAGAAAGACAAACCCCUGACUGAUGGCCCUCCUGGAGCACAGUUCUGCUCUCCCCCAGCAGCCAGAAGACAAUAAAUUUCUGGGUCACUGAGUCACUAUAAAUAGAGCUUUGUUGCUGCACUGCAUCCAGCCAUGAGCCACCAUGUAUUAUUAGGUACUUAAAGGUACUGUUUACAUUCUUUUCUCAUACCCCUGGUGCUUAUUUCCAAUAAAAAGCAUCCAAGCCAAGCAGGCCUGAGAGAGUGUGGCUGGCACAGAGCAAUCCCCAGCAGCACAUUUGCUGCUGCUGGCACAGAGCAGCUCUGCUCCAGCCCCAGGCAGGGCUGGGAGGAAGACGUUGAAGAGGAUUCUCUGUGAGGAAACCCUGCUGAUUUAGUGAUCCAGGAGGCUUGGGUAGGAGCUGGCUGGGUUCCCAGCUAGGCUAAAACUGCAGAAAAUUGACACUGAGGUAAAUAUUGGUAUAAUUAAUUCAGGGCAAUCAUGCUUGCUGCAGAGAGGCAGCAACCUGAAUGUAGGGAACAAAUGAAUGGGGAGGAGAAGAGAAGAUGCAGCCUGUUAGGAUCACACCUGGGAUAGUGCCCUGAGCCCCAGCUGCAUCUGCAGGAUGCAGCCAGCAGGGAUAGCUACAGAUCUCAGCCUGCUCAGAUUUCUAUAAUCCCUUCUUUAGGGCACAUCACAAGGAACCUGGUUCUGGGGGGGAUCCCAGAGCAGGAGUGGGGAUCCCUGUGCUGCUGCAGGGGUGAGACCCAGGCAGUGCCAGCCAAGAAUGGGAUGUAGGCAGUGCCAAACAGGUUGUGCUGGCU